rnacentral:rRNA from 1 species
GACGAACGCUGGCGGCGUGCCUAAUACAUGCAAGUUGAGCGAUGAAGAUUGGUGCUUGCACCAAUUUGAAGAGCAGCGAACGGGUGAGUAACGCGUGGGGAAUCUGCCUUUGAGCGGGGGACAACAUUUGGAAACGAAUGCUAAUACCGCAUAACAACUUUAAACAUAAGUUUUAAGUUUGAAAGAUGCAAUUGCAUCACUCAAAGCUGAUCCCGCGGUGUAUUAGCUAGUUGGCGAGGUAAAGGCUCACCAAGGCGAUGAUACGUAGCCGGCCUGAGAGGGUGAUGAGUCAGAGUGGAACUGGGACACGGUCGAGAAUGCUACGGGAGGGAGGAGUGGGGAAUGUUGGAGAGUGGGCGAAAGCAUGAAGCAGGCAGGGCGGGUGUGUGAGGAAGGUCUUCGGAUUGUAAAGCAAUGUGAGUGGGGAGGAAGGGCAGUAAGGGAAUACCUUGCUGUUUGGACGUGACAAAAAGAAGAAGCACCGGCUAACUUCGUG